AGUGAACGCUGGCGGUAGGCCUAACACAUGCAAGUCGAACGGCAGCACAGGAGAGCUUGCUCUCUGGGUGGCGAGUGGCGGACGGGUGAGGAAUACAUCGGAAUCUACUUUUUCGUGGGGGAUAACGUAGGGAAACUUACGCUAAUACCGCAUACGACCUACGGGUGAAAGCAGGGGAUCUUCGGACCUUGCGCGAUUGAAUGAGCCGAUGUCGGAUUAGCUAGUUGGCGGGGUAAAGGCCCACCAAGGCGACGAUCCGUAGCUGGUCUGAGAGGCUGAUCAGCCACACUGGAACUGAGACACGGUCCAGACUCCUACGGGAGGCAGCAGUGGGGAAUAUUGCACAAUGGGCGCAAGCCUGAGCCAGCCAUACCGCGUGGGUGAAGAAGGCCUUCGGGUUGUAAAGCCCUUUUGUUGGGAAAGAAAUCCAGCUGGUUAAUACCCGGUUGGGAUGACGGUACCCAAAGAAUAAGCACCGGCUAACUUCGUGCCAGCCGCCGCCGUAA
rnacentral:rRNA from 1 species